rnacentral:rRNA from 1 species
UACGUAGGCAGCAAGCGUUGUUCGGAAUUACUGGGCGUAAAGAGUGUGUAGGCGGUGCUCUAAGUUUGGUGUGAAAUCUCCCGGCUCAACUGGGAGGGUGCGCCGAAAACUGGAAUGCUUGAACAUGGGAGAGGAAAGCGGAAUUCCUGGUGUAGCGGUGAAAUGCGUAGAUAUCAGGAGGAACACCUGCGGUGUAGACGGCUUUCUGGACCAUUGUUGACGCUGAGGCACGAAAGCGUGGGUAGCAAACAGG